CCACUGCAUUGCCCAGUAGCGGCGAGUGAAGCGGCAAGAGCUCAGAUUUGAAAUCGUGUUUCGGCACGAGUUGUAGAGUGUAGGCGGGAGUCUCUGUGGAGCGCGGUGUCCAAGUCCCUUGGAACAGGGUGCCUGAGAGGGUGAGAGCCCCGUAGGGUGCUGCGCGAAGCUUUUGAGGCCCUGCUGACGAGUCGAGUUGUUUGGGAAUGCAGCUCCAAGCGGGUGGUAAAUUCCAUCUAAGGCUAAAUAUUGGCGAGAGACCGAUAGCGAACAAGUACUGUGAAGGAAAGAUGAAAAGCACUUUGAAAAGAGAGUGAAACAGCACGUGAAAUUGUUGAAAGGGAAGGGUAUUGGGCUCGACAUGGGGGGUGCGCACCGCUGUCUCUUGUAGGCGGCGCUCUGGGCGCCCUCUGGGCCAGCAUCGGUUCCUGCUGCGGGAGAAGGGGCUCCGGAAAGUGGCUCUUCGGAGUGUUAUAGCCGGGGCCAGAUGCCGCGUGUGGGGACCGAGGACUGCGGCUUCUGUCUCGGAUGCUGGCAUAACGGCGCAAUACCGCCCGUCUUAA
rnacentral:rRNA from 1 species